rfam:[Clostridium] clariflavum DSM 19732 chromosome, complete genome.
CUGACGGUAUCGAAUGUGAACCGUACGGCCUUUGAAUUAAUUGAACAAUUUAUUGAAAGAACUGCUUUGAUCCGAUUUGGACAAGGACAGAUUG